GUCAAGUUACAAAGGGCGCAGGGCGGAUGCCUUGGCACCAGGAGCCGAAGAAGGACGUGAUAAGCUGCGAAAAGCUGCGGGGAGGAGCAAAUAUCCUUUGAUCCGCAGAUAUCCGAAUGGGGAAACCCGGCAGAAAGAACUUCUGUCACCGUAUGAUGAAUCCAUAGUCAUACGGAGGGAACCCGGCGAACUGAAACAUCUAAGUAGCCGGAGGAAGAGGAAGAAACAUCGAAUCCCUAAGUAGUGGCGAGCGAAAGGGGGACGAAGCCCAAACCAAGGAUUUAUCCUUGGGGUUGAGGACCACAUACGAAGAAGCAGUAGGUAGCAGAACGGUUUUGGGAAAGCCGGCCAAAGAGAGUGAAAGCCUCGUAUGCGAAACAGACUGUGAUUCAGUGGUAUCCGGAGUACUACGGGACACGAGAAACCCCGUAGGAAGCAGGGGGGACCACCCCCCAAGGCGAAAUACUACCUGGUGACCGAUAGAGUAUAGUACCGUGAGGGAAAGGUGAAAAGAACCCCGGGAGGGGAGUGAAAGAGAACCUGAAACCCUGUGUCUACAAGCUGCGGAAGAGCGACUAACGCUCGACCGUGUACUUUUUGUAGAACGGUCCGGCGAGUUGCCGUUGCUGGCAGGUUAAGUACUUAAGGUACGGAGCCGAAGGGAAACCAAGUCUUAAUAGGGCGGUAAGUCAGUAACGGCAGACCCGAAACCGGGUGACCUACCCAUGGCCAGGAUGAAGUCUGCGUAAAAGUGGAUGGAGGUCCGAACACACGUCUGUUGAAAAAGGCGGUGAUGAGCUGUGGGUAGCGGAGAAAUUCCAAUCGAACUCGGAGAUAGCUGGUUCUCCCCGAAAUAGCUUUAGGGCUAGCCUCGGUAUAGUCUAAUGGAGGUAGAGCACUGAAUCGCUGCGGGGGCGUCAAAGUCUACCAAUGCGUAUCAAACUCCGAAUGCCAUAUAGAUGUUUACCGGGAGUCAGACUGUAUGAGAUAAGUCGGACAGUCAAAAGGGAAACAGCCCAGACCAUCUGCUAAGGUCCCAAAGUGUAUGUUAAGUGGUAAAGGAUGUGGGGUUUCGAAGACAACUAGGAUGUUGGCUCAGAAGCAGCCAUUCAUUCAAAGAGUGCGUAAUAGCUCACUAGUCGAGAGGUCCUGCGCCGAAAAUGUCCGGGGCUGAAACAUAACACCGAAGCAAUGGAAUAUACCGUAAGGUAUGUUGGUAGGGGAGCAUUGAUAACACGAAGAAGCGGUACCGUAAGGAGUCGUGGAGAGUUAUCAAGAGAGAAUGCCGGAAUGAGUAGCGAGAUGAAGGUGAGAAUCCUUCAGGCCGUAUAUCCAAGGUUUCCAGGGUAAAGCUGAUCUUCCCUGGGGAAGUCGGGACCUAAGCUCAGGCUGAGAAGCGUAGGCGAUGGACAACUGGUUGAUAUUCCAGUACCUCUGGCUAUCAGAAAUGUGGGGACACGGAGAUUCAGGAAGUGCCUGUAAAGGAUUCAGGUGCAAGCAUGGUUUAUGCCGGGCAGGCAAAUCCGUCCGGGUAAGUGAACUGUGUGAUGCGGACCGAAAUAUAAGUAGGGAAGCUCCUGGGAGAGCCGUCGAGAAAGCCGCUAUUGUGUAGUCAGAGCCCGUACCGUAAACCGACACAGGUGGAUGGGGAGAGUAUCCCAAGGCCGGCGGGAGAAGCAUUGUUAAGGAACUCGGCAAAAUGGCCCCGUAAGUUCGCGAUAAGGGGUGCCUGUAGAGAUACAGGCCGCAGAGAAUAGGCUCAAGCAACUGUUUAGCAAAAACACAGGUCUAUGCGAAACCGUAAGGUGAUGUAUAUGGGCUGACGCCUGCCCGGUGCUGGAAGGUUACGGGGAGUGCUUAGGAGUAAUCCGAAGGUACGAACUUAAGCCCCAGUAAACGGCGGCCGUAACUAUAACGGUCCUAAGGUAGCGAAAUUCCUUGUCGGGUAAGUUCCGACCCGCACGAAAAGGCGUAAUGAUUUGAGCGCUGUCUCAACAAUGCACCCGGUGAAAUUGAAGUACCAGUGAAGAUGCUGGUUACCUGCGCCAAGACGGAAAGACCCCUAUGGAGCUUUUACUCCAUCUUGGUACUGGGAUUAGAUAUAUGAUGUACAGGAUAGGUGGGAGACUAAGAAGCAGGGACGCCAGUUUCUGCGGAGUCAAUGUUGGGAUACCACCCUUCGUGUAUCUGGUUUCUAACCUUUGCCCGUUAUCCGGGCAGGGGGACAAUGCCAGGAGGGGAGUUUGACUGGGGCGGUCGCCUCCGAAAGUGUAUCGGAGGCGCUCAAGAGUUCCCUCAGAAUGGUUGGAAACCAUUCGCAGAGUGUAAAGGCAGAAGGGAGCUUGACUGCGACACCGACGGGUGGAGCAGGUACGAAAAGUAGGGACUUAGUGAUCCGGUGGUAUGUAAGUGGGGAAUGCCAUCGCUCAACGGAUAAAAAGCUACCCUGGGGAUAACAGGCUUAUCACUCCCAAGAGUUCACAUCGACGGAGUGGUUUGGCACCUCGAUGUCGGCUCAUCGCAUCCUGGGGCUGUAGUAGGUCCCAAGGGUUGGGCUGUUCGCCCAUUAAAGCGGUACGCGAGCUGGGUUCAGAACGUCGUGAGACAGUUCGGUCCCUAUCUGGCGCAGGCGUAGGAUAUUUGAGGAGAGCCGUCCUUAGUACGAGAGGACCGGGAUGGACGAACCGCUGGUAGACCAGUUGCAGUGCCAGCUGCACGGCUGGGAAGCCAAGUUUGGCAGGGAUAAACGCUGAAGGCAUCUAAGCGUGAAGCCCCCUCCAAGAUAAGAUAUCCCAUAGCGUAGGCUAAUAAGACCCCUUAGAGAGUAUGAGGUUGAUAGGUCAGUGGUGUAAGCGGAGUAAUCCGUGUGCCUUCUGAUACUAAUAGGUCGAAGGCUUGACC
rnacentral:rRNA from 1 species